UACGUAGGGUGCAAGCGUUAAUCGGAAUUACUGGGCGUAAAGCGUGCGCAGGCGGUUUUGUAAGUCUGUCGUGAAAUCCCCGGGCUCAACCUGGGAAUGGCGAUGGAGACUGCAAGGCUAGAGUUUGGCAGAGGGGGGGUAGAAUUCCACGUGUAGCAGUGAAAUGCGUAGAUAUGUGGAGGAACACCGAUGGCGAAGGCAGCCCCCUGGGUCAAGAUUGACGCUCAUGCACGAAAGCGUGGGGAGCAAACAGG
rnacentral:rRNA from 1 species